CCUCAAAUCAGGUAGGACUACCCGCUGAACUUAAGCAUAUCAAUAAGCGGAGGAAAAGAAACUAACAAGGAUUCCCCUAGUAACUGCGAGUGAAGCGGGAAAAGCUCAAAUUUAAAAUCUGGCGGUCUCUGGCCGUCCGAGUUGUAGUCUGGAGAAGUGCUUUCCGCGCUGGACCGUG
rnacentral:rRNA from 1 species